rnacentral:rRNA from 1 species
UACGUAGGAGGCGAGCGUUGUCCGGAAUUACUGGGCGUAAAGCGCACGUAGGCGGCUUUGUAAGUUAGAGGUGAAAGCCCGGGGCUCAACCCCGGAAUAGCCUUUAAGACUGCAUCGCUUGAAUCCGGGAGAGGUGAGUGGAAUUCCGAGUGUAGAGGUGAAAUUCGUAGAUAUUCGGAAGAACACCAGUGGCGAAGGCGGCUCACUGGACCGGUAUUGACGCUGAGGUGCGAAAGCGUGGGGAGCAAACAGG